rnacentral:rRNA from 1 species
GUCCUAGAGUUUGAUCAUGGCUCAGGACGAACGCUGGCGGCGUGCCUAAUACAUGCAAGUCGAGCGGACAGAUGGGAGCUUGCUCCCUGAUGUUAGCGGCGGACGGGUGAGUAACACGUGGGUAACCUGCCUGUAAGACUGGGAUAACUCCGGGAAACCGGGGCUAAUACCGGAUGCUUGUUUGAACCGCAUGGUUCAAACAUAAAAGGUGGCUUCGGCUACCACUUACAGAUGGACCCGCGGCGCAUUAGCUAGUUGGUGAGGUAACGGCUCACCAAGGCAACGAUGCGUAGCCGACCUGAGAGGGUGAUCGGCCACACUGGGACUGAGACACGGCCCAGACUCCUACGGGAGGCAGCAGUAGGGAAUCUUCCGCAAUGGACGAAAGUCUGACGGAGCAACGCCGCGUGAGUGAUGAAGGUUUUCGGAUCGUAAAGCUCUGUUGUUAGGGAAGAACAAGUACCGUUCGAAUAGGGCGGUACCUUGACGGUACCUAACCAGAAAGCCACGGCUAACUACGUGCCAGCAGCCGCGGUAAUACGUAGGUGGCAAGCGUUGUCCGGAAUUAUUGGGCGUAAAGGGCUCGCAGGCGGUUUCUUAAGUCUGAUGUGAAAGCCCCCGGCUCAACCGGGGAGGGUCAUUGGAAACUGGGGAACUUGAGUGCAGAAGAGGAGAGUGGAAUUCCACGUGUAGCGGUGAAAUGCGUAGAGAUGUGGAGGAACACCAGUGGCGAAGGCGACUCUCUGGUCUGUAACUGACGCUGAGGAGCGAAAGCGUGGGGAGCGAACAGGAUUAGAUACCCUGGUAGUCCACGCCGUAAACGAUGAGUGCUAAGUGUUAGGGGGUUUCCGCCCCUUAGUGCUGCAGCUAACGCAUUAAGCACUCCGCCUGGGGAGUACGGUCGCAAGACUGAAACUCAAAGGAAUUGACGGGGGCCCGCACAAGCGGUGGAGCAUGUGGUUUAAUUCGAAGCAACGCGAAGAACCUUACCAGGUCUUGACAUCCUCUGACAAUCCUAGAGAUAGGACGUCCCCUUCGGGGGCAGAGUGACAGGUGGUGCAUGGUUGUCGUCAGCUCGUGUCGUGAGAUGUUGGGUUAAGUCCCGCAACGAGCGCAACCCUUGAUCUUAGUUGCCAGCAUUCAGUUGGGCACUCUAAGGUGACUGCCGGUGACAAACCGGAGGAAGGUGGGGAUGACGUCAAAUCAUCAUGCCCCUUAUGACCUGGGCUACACACGUGCUACAAUGGACAGAACAAAGGGCAGCGAAACCGCGAGGUUAAGCCAAUCCCACAAAUCUGUUCUCAGUUCGGAUCGCAGUCUGCAACUCGACUGCGUGAAGCUGGAAUCGCUAGUAAUCGCGGAUCAGCAUGCCGCGGUGGAAUACGUUCCCCGGGCCUUGUACACACCGCCCGUCACACCACGAGAGUUUGUAACACCCGAAGUCGGUGAGGUAACCUUUUAGGAGCCAGCCGCCGAAGGUGGGACAGAUGAUUGGGGUGAAGUCCUACAGGGGGGCCCCGCAUAAA